AUGGAGGCAGCAGCCCUCUCCCUGCUCCCGCACUCGCCCUGCCAAGCGGAUCCGGUUUUCCAGCCCCGCGUGAGCCCRCGGGUAGGCAAGGAGGGGUCCCGUGCUGGGCGUCAGGGAGCCGAAGUUUUGGCUGCCGUUGCUGGCCCGCUGGAGGACUUUUCACGUGACCUCAGGCAGGUCGCGCAGAGGCUCUGUGGCUCRACCUUCCCACCUGCGAAAGGAGGCAGCCGGCGCUGCCCCGGCUCCCGGCAGGGCGCCGAGGUCAGAGCGGUCACUGCUUCUCGGGCGCAGGGACGGAGGCGCUGGCAGCACAGAAGGAAGCAUUGCACAGCCGUGCUGGGGUGUCGCCGGCCUGGCACCGGGCUGACGAGGGAGAAGCAAGCGGGGCUUCGGAAACAGCCUCCCCCCCUUUCCCUUCUGCACGCCUCCGCUGGCAGGGCGAGCGGGCACGGAAAACCAGACCGUGCCGCAGCCUGCGCGUGCCUUCUCGUCGCCGGCAAGGUCGCGGGAUCUCCGCCGCACGCACUUCCUUCGGGCCGCUGCUUGUUUGUGAAAGAAGACACUGUUUCUCAGCAACGUAAAAGCUGGAGCCCCGGUGUCCCAGUGGAGGCCGGCCCGGAGCAGCCUUCCGAAGCGGGAUUCGAGCCCCGCCGCAGCCCUUCCCGGGUCCCCAGCGGGGCGAGGGGACCUAGUGCUGCUCAGCCCUGCCGGGCGCGCGGGACAGGGGUCCGGGGCCCGGGGCAGGCAGGGGGACACCGGACAGGGCCACGCGCAGGGUCCCACGCAGGGACUGAAUCGAGAGGCUGCUCCGGAAAGGUGAUUCGUUGCCUGAAAACGUGGAGAAGGUGUGAAGCCCGUGAGGUUUCUCUGCUGCCGCUGAGGUCGUGCUCCGAAGCAAAACUCUUGAGAAACAGCCCAGCGACGUGUCCCCGAGCGUGCCGACAGCUGCGUGAGCCGCCGCUCGCCUGCUCCAGCGCAGCCCGCGCGCCCGGGCCGGGGCUCUGCCCGCGGCAGCCGCCUCGCGCGUUCCCCCCGGCCAGCGCUGCUUCAAAGCGGCCUCAGAAAAACAGCUGCCUCUUCCUCUUUUUCGAAAGCACGGGGCCAUUUUUACCCCCGAAGAGACAGUGGGACGAGAAGUGA
rnacentral:lncRNA from 1 species